rnacentral:lncRNA from 1 species
CCCCUUUUUGAUGUCUGCCUGAGGACCUAUGUUAAUGUUUUGGAAAGGGGAUGUUCGCCUUUUUGUAACAAAUAGACCCACGAUACGGACUAAUAUAUGUUCUUACCCACAAGCAUAAAUAAGAUCUAUUCAUAGUUGGUCAGUCCCCCACGGCAGGGCUUCUCGCUUUUCAUGAAUGUGUCCUCCCCUCUGCUUAUGUGAGUUUUAUCCGUCCUUUUACUCUGCUUGCUUCUGACUCCCUAUGAGCCCUUACUUUUUUGGAGGGUCGGCGGGGCAUGGUAGCCUCAGCUCAUGCAUCGGUUUACCGAAAUAACCUCUGCUCUCCCACUUCCUUCUAUUCAAAAGGCGAGCAGCCCUUAAACAAAAAGGCCCUAAAAGGGUUCUUCUUUAUAUAUUACAUAAGCCCUAAAGUAGGUAGCCCCGAAAGCCGAACUCAGCAGAGUGGGUUUUGGCUUGCCCCUUUCUAUCUUAUUAGUCAAACCUAAACGUCCUUAUUUCAAAAAACAGCGCUAACACCCUAUCUAUAGUAAGGGGCCUUUUCAAUUGAAUCUCCCACUUGAUUUCGGACAGUCAAAUAGAAAGACUCUUUGUUAGCUCUUCGUGCCUCUUUGACUUCUCAAUCUGAACUAAGACUGUCCAACUAGAGUAUAGCCUGAAGGAGCUCUUUUUGUAUUGAAAGUGUUUUCAAAUAGCAAUCCAUCGCGUCGGUAAUAAGACUUAGAGUAAACGAACGAUUCAAG